UAAGUACAACCCCCGUCCCAAAUUACUUGUCUUAGAUUUGUCUAGAUACGAAUGUAUCUAACACUAAAACGUUUCUAGAUACAUCCGUAUCAAGAUAAAUCUAAGACAAGUAAUUCGGAACGGAGGGAGUACUUC
rfam:Triticum aestivum genome assembly, contig: Triticum_aestivum_CS42_TGACv1_scaffold_290154_4AL